CCCAAACACGGGCAUCAUAACUGCGGCCGACAGUGUCAUACCCCUCCUGAGCUCUUACCCAGUUAACAUCUGACCACGCUGUGUACCGUGGAACAGCUUCUGCAGGAGAGGUUAGGAGCGUCCCCCAUUGAUCCAUAACCCUGAACGCUUCCAUCCCCUUAUUUAGACUGACAACCUAUAAGGCUGGCGAUGCCAUUUGGAAUUCUCCUGGACAGAAAGCGGAACUGAGCACGGCUCUCCCACAGCCUGGCUGCUGCUAGACUGUGUGCUGAGCACGAGUACUCCACGUACCUACGGGAUCAGUGUUCAGCUGCUGGAGCAGAACCCUGAGAACACCUUGGCUGCAGACAGCAAAUCCGCACCGAGCUGCUCAAUGCUGCCCACGCUAAGUCAAUACUAACGCCGUCGAAAUUACUUGCUCACAAACAGCUCUGAUGGGUAACCUUAAUGGACAAACGCCGUUUAUCCGAGCUGUGACAGCGUUCCGAGCUCGCAGGUGAAGGAAACGCAGUCGCUUUCCCUCUUCUCUUCACGUCUGCUCUCCCACCGAACCAUUUCCCCCUCAACUUCCCACAGAGCUCGCCACGACCCCUGCAACCAAACGCGGGACAGCCCACCACGCAAGGGAGCUGCAUGCCACAAGUCCUGCAAAAACCAGCAUCAGCUGCUGGGGAGCUGCACCCCCCCUAGACCCCCCCAAGCCCCCAGAGCCGCCGCAGGAGACCCCCAGAGCCGGCCGGGGGACCCUCCCACACCCCCUAAGACCCCCGUAACCUGAACCCGAAGGCAGCCGCCCGGGUCCCCGAGCAGCCACGGGGGAGCGGGCGGUCCCCGGGGAGCCCCGCCGUGAGGCGCCCCGGGAACAGCCGGCACUCCCGGCCCGGCAGCGAGCGCCCCGCGCCGCCGGGCCAGCGACAAAGUGAAUU